rnacentral:rRNA from 1 species
AUUGAACGCUGGCGGCAUGCCUUACACAUGCAAGUCGAACGGCAGCGGACCUUCGGGUGCCGGCGAGUGGCGAACGGGUGAGUAAUGCAUCGGAACGUACCCUUCAGUGGGGGAUAACGUAGCGAAAGUUACGCUAAUACCGCAUAUUCUGUGAGCAGGAAAGCAGGGGAUCGCAAGACCUUGCGCUGAUUGAGCGGCCGAUGUCAGAUUAGCUAGUUGGUGAGGUAAAGGCUCACCAAGGCGACGAUCUGUAGCGGGUCUGAGAGGAUGAUCCGCCACACUGGGACUGAGACACGGCCCAGACUCCUACGGGAGGCAGCAGUGGGGAAUUUUGGACAAUGGGGGCAACCCUGAUCCAGCCAUGCCGCGUGAGUGAAGAAGGCCUUCGGGUUGUAAAGCUCUUUCGGCCGGGAAGAGAUCGCACAGGCUAAUACCUUGUGUGGAUGACGGUACCGGAAUAAGAAGCACCGGCUAACUACGUGCCAGCCGCCGCUGUAAAAC